ensembl:rRNA 5S_rRNA 5S ribosomal RNA
GCUUACGGCCAUACCACCCUGAGCACCCGAUCUCAUCUGAUCUCGGAAGCUAAGCAGUGUCGGGCCUGGUUAGAACUUGGAUGGGAGACCGCUUGGGAAUACCAGGUGCUGUAAGCU